GAUAGGGAAUAAAAAGGCAUCUUUUUAUUUUUAAAAGACCUUUUUCGGAAGGUAUGCUUAAAGAGGGGCUUGCGUCACAUUAGUUAGUUGGCAGGGUAAAGGCCUACCAAGACUAUGAUGUGUAGCUGGACUGAGAGGUUGAACAGCCACAUUGGGACUGAGACACGGCCCAAACUCCUACGGGAGGCAGCAGUAGGGAAUUUUCGGCAAUGGAGGAAACUCUGACCGAGCAACGCCGCGUGAACGAUGAAGUAUUUCGGUAUGUAAAGUUCUUUUAUUGAAGAAGAAAAAAUAGUGGAAAAACUAUCUUGACGAUAUUCAAUGAAUAAGCCCCGGCAAACUAUGUGCCAGCAGCCGCGGUAAUACAUAGGGGGCGAGCGUUAUCCGGAAUUAUUGGGCGUAAAGGGUGCGUAGGCGGUUUAAUAAGUCUAUAGUUUAAUUUCAGUGCUUAACACUGUCCUGCUAUAGAAACUAUUAGACUAGAGUGAGAUAGAGGCAAGUGGAAUUCCAUGUGUAGCGGUAAAAUGCGUAAAUAUAUGGAGGAACACCAGAGGCGUAGGCGGCUUGCUGGGUCUUUACUGACGCUGAGGCACGAAAGCGUGGGGAGCAAACAGGAUUAGAUACCCUGGUAGUCCACGCCGUAAACGAUGAGUACUAAGUGUCGGGAUUACUCGGUACUGAAGUUAACACAUUAAGUACUCCGCCUGAGUAGUACGUACGCAAGUAUGAAACUUAAAGGAAUUGACGGGACUCCGCACAAGCGGUGGAUCAUGUUGUUUAAUUCGAAGAUACACGAAAAACCUUACCAGGUCUUGACAUACUCUGCAAAGCUAUAGCAAUAUAGUGGAGGUUAUCAGGGAUACAGGUGGUGCAUGGUUGUCGUCAGCUCGUGUCGUGAGAUGUUAGGUUAAGUCCUAAAACGAGCGCAACCCUUGUCAUUAGUUGCCAGCAUGUUAUGAUGGGCACUUUAAUGAGACUGCCAAUGAAAAAUUGGAGGAAGGUGAGGAUCACGUCAAAUCAUCAUGCCCCUUAUGAUCUGGGCUACAAACGUGAUACAAUGGCUGUUACAAAGAGUAGCUGAAACGUAAGUUUAUAGCCAAUCUCAUAAAAGCAGUCUCAGUUCGGAUUGAAGUCUGCAACUCGACUUCAUGAAGUUGGAAUCGCUAGUAAUCGCGAAUCAGCAUGUCGCGGUGAAUACGUUCUCGGGGUUUGUACACACCGCCCGUCAAACCACGAAAGUUGGUAAUACUCAAAAACGGUAGCCUAACUUCUUCGGAAGAGGGAACCGUCUAAGGUAGGAUCGAUGAUUGGGGUUAA
rnacentral:rRNA from 1 species